CUUUAUAGGUAUAUUUGAACACAUCUUACAACAAUAUAAUAAAAGGAAUAAAAGGAAAAAGCGACUAAAGAUGUGUAUCUCGAGUAUUCUUUAAGAAGUGUUUUGCUGAAAUUAUUAGGUGACUUGGCUUAAUUUCAUUGAUUCUGUUUUUUGGAAAAUGAAUUAAAAUUUCAUUCCUCCGGCAAAAUCGAUAUCUCUCCUCCUGCGAUCAUAUUUCUUUUUCCUUGAUUUUCUCGGCGGCGUGAGCAAAAGGGACGGGGUCAAGAACAAACAAGCCCAUAAGAAUCUCAGAUCCAUGACUUUAGGCGACCUCUGCUUCUUCUACCACUCCGGUACGAAAUCGAGGUGCGUCGUGGGUGUGGUGGAGGUUGCUCGCGAAUGGUACGAAGAUGACGAUGACGAAGGAGAAGGAGAAGGAGCGGUCGACGUCAAAGCUGUCGGAGAGAUGAGGAGAUUUGUUGAUUUGAAGGAGAUGAAAGGAGACAAAGGGAUUAAGGAUUUCGUUUUGUUCAGACAGCCGAGGUUGUCUGUUGUUCCAGUGGAAGUUGAUGUUUGGCAAAAGAUUUGUGAAUUGGGAGAUGGGUUUUCUGGAGAUGGUGAUGGCAUCUCUUUCUCAAACACAGAAGAAACAUUAACACAAGCUUUUUCUCAAUAUGGUCGUCUUCUUGGUGUGAAUGUUGUGAUGGACAAAAUCAGAUGCAGACCAAAAGAGUUUGCUUAUGUCAAAUUCUCUUCCAAAGAAGAAGCCGACGAAGCUUUAUUACAACUUAACGGACAGUUGGUAGAUAGGCGGGUGGUGGUCAUGCUAAGUCCGGAGGAGGAGGAGGAGAUCCUAGUAAACCUCAGCCUGUAAAGUUUCUUUCUCUUUCUUUGUCUAGCUAUAUCUUCUCUUUCUCGAUCCAUCUUCACACAUUACUCUCUGGAAAACGUACUCGUUACCGUCUUGAUGGUUCCAAGAUCAUGAAGGUCUAUUUGGAGGCCAAGGAAAGGAACAACACAGAGUACAAGCUCGAGACUAUGAUGGGUGUGUACCGGAAACUUACUGGAAAGGAUGUCACUUUCGAGUACCCUGUUGAAGCUUGAAGAUGUUGAUGACGCUGAAGAAUUUCAUCAGGAUAGAGCUUUUGAUUCUGUUUUGUGGUGUUUAGGAUGAAGUACACUCUGUUUUGAUUCUGUUUUGUUAAUCAAACUAAUAACGAGAAAUGGAUUCAGACACUACAUGUUGUAAAAAGAUCUUUACUGAUGCAAAAAUAUUUUGUUGUUA